UGGGGUGUAGCUCAAUGGUAGAGCACAUGCCUUGAAUGCACAAGGCCCUGGAUUCGAUUCCCAGCACAACAA
rnacentral:tRNA from 1 species